rnacentral:rRNA from 1 species
UACGUAGGGUGCAAGCGUUAAUCGGAAUUACUGGGCGUAAAGCGUGCGCAGGCGGUGAUGUAAGACAGAUGUGAAAUCCCCGGGCUCAACCUGGGAAUGGCAUUUGGGACUGCAAGGCUCGAGUGCGGCAGAGGAGACUGGAAUUCCUGGUGUAGCAGUGAAAUGCGUAGAUAUCAGGAGGAAUACCGAUGGCGAAGGCAGGUCUCUGGGCUGACACUGACGCUCAUGCACGAAAGCGUGGGGAGCAAACAGG